rnacentral:rRNA from 1 species
ACGCUCGACACCUACGGGAGGCCGCAGUGGGGAAUAUUGCACAAUGGGGGAAACCCUGAUGCAGCGAUGCCGCGUGAAGGAAGAAGUAUCUCGGUAUGUAAACUUCUAUCAGCAGGGAAGAAAAUGACGGUACCUGACUAAGAAGCCCCGGCUAACUACGUGCCAACAGCCGCGGUAAUCUGAGCGGGCUGGCAAGGC